UCAAAAUCCUAGAAAUUAUAAGGUACUCCUCUUCUAGCAAGGUCUUCGGCAUUAGCAUUGGCAGCAGCAGCAGUCUCAGUUACAACUGCAACUGGUUCAACAGCAGCAAAGGGAUUAGCUAGUGUAAUUAAAGUAGCAAGUGGAGCUUGAUCCAAAGCCAUCCUAGCCAAAAGUUGUUGGAGUUCCUCCCAUAUGACACCCUUUAGAACGUCAAUAACGACAUUCUUAAGGAUCUCAACAUCCUGCUCAUUAACUCUUUCAUUGGCCAUUUCAGAUGUAGCUUUGGUCUCGCUUCUGAAAGCUUGAUGUCUUGGCUUUUUAAGGAGCUCUAAUACGGUUUGAAUUUUUGUUAAGAUCGGUAUCCUCUCCAACCUUCCACUAUCUUAUCUCCUCCAACCCAAAGGAGUGUCUAUAUGGCUCUAACAAUGUUUAUAUGAUGCAUGUGCCAUGCACAAGGAUAGAAGAAAAAAA
rnacentral:lncRNA from 1 species